GACGAACGCUGGCGGCGUGCUUAACACAUGCAAGUCGAACGGAAAGGCCCUGCUUGCAGGGUACUCGAGUGGCGAACGGGUGAGUAACACGUGGGUGAUCUGCCCUGCACUUCGGGAUAAGCCUGGGAAACUGGGUCUAAUACCGGAUAGGAGCCAUUUUUAGUGUGAUGGUUGGAAAGUUUUUUCGGUGUAGGAUGAGCUCGCGGCCUAUCAGCUUGUUGGUGGGGUAAUGGCCUACCAAGGCGGCGGCGGGUAGCCGGCCUGAGAGGGUGGACGGCCACAUUGGGACUGAGAUACGGCCCAGACUCCUACGGGAGGCAGCAGUGGGGAAUAUUGCUCCAUGGGCGCAAGCCUGAUGCAGCGACGCCGCGUGGGGGAUGACGGCCUUCGGGUUGUAAACUCCUUUCGCUAGGGACGAAGCUUUUUGUGACGGUACCUAGAUAAGAAGCACCGGCUAACUACGUG
rnacentral:rRNA from 1 species